GCCAAAAGAAUUUAUUUAUUUAUUUAUUAAGGUAACUCACAAUUUGGAAGAGAAAAAAGAAGCAGGCAGCUGAUUUCAUGGGGGACUUCAAAUAUGAAGUACACUGUUUUAAUAACCAGAUACUUGGAGCUUGAUCAAGUUGAUAUUAUUUAUACAUUAUGAUCUGAUUAAAUCUUUUAAGUUUAGAGAAAGUCUAGUGGUUGAUUUCCCAUAAGCAUGUGAAGCUCCUACAAACAAACCAGGUGGUGGGAGUCCUUCCAAGGCUUCCUCACAGCAAUAUCCUUUGGGGAAUGCAAACCUACCUGUAGGUAAGGUAAAUAUUCACAGCUCAAGGUUACAGCCAGACUCCAGUAAUAUAUAACCAUAAAUAUGAUAUUUGAUAUAAGCUUGAAGGUGUGUGUUACCUCCCUGAUUUUGUUUAUUUAUGUGUCUGGUUUUACAUUUGCAUACUGCCUAGUCAAGUUUGAUAGUGAUGCAGUGUCGACUCUCCAAAGUUUGAAUACCUCCCAAACUGUAAUGAAGUCUUCCACUUUCCAGCAGUCUGGUAUCCCCCACAAAACUGUUAUCAAAUCUGACUUGCUUCUACUGUCAUUCAGAAUCACAACCUCAGCUUUUAUGGAGAUGGAGCCAUCCUGCAGACAACACCGAGACUCAGAAAAAACUAAAAGUGGGCAACCAAGGUGAAGUGUAGAAUUUAGUAUUUCACAUUACUGCCAUCUCCUGCAACAUAGGAAUCAAAGACCAGAAACAAAAUUCUGUGAGUGGACAGGUAAUUCUAGACUACCAACAAGGUGCUGUGACCCAAACUAAUCACCUGCACAGUGAUUAAUUAGUUAAAUCAGAAAUCGAAAAUACACGGCAUAACCAAACCAAAGCUUAGGUUCUAUCUCUACAAUGUUUUCCAGAUUAAACUUUGCCUUCCUUUUUGCAUGUUCUGUAAUCUAUUCUUAUACUAAUCCUGUUAAUUAUUUUUACAUCUUGGGUAUUUUCUCAAUCUGCAUAGAGAGACAUAAACUAAGGGAACACCAAAAGAAAUUUCGAAAGAGACUGCAGGAUAUUUAUUUAUCCUGGUAACACCCAAAAGGACCUUUAAGGUGCAUGGGCUCAUUACACUGGACUUUAAGCAAAUAAAAAUGAGACAAGUUAUUUCCUUAAAGGUUUGCAGUCUCAGACAUCUGAGGGUUGGAAUGACCUGAGAAGCCAAUUCCCAUUUCUCUUCAGUCUUAAAACAAUUUGGCAGCUGUCUACUUCUUGCUCUGUUUUCUAGAGAUUUUAAUCACAGAGAAACGCAGUGGAUACUUCAUUAAGGUAUUUCCUUUUUUAGGCCAUUUUCUGCUCCUAACCUCUUUCUACAUCUGUCUUCACUGCAUAAUAAUCCUCAUUAUCCUUUUGCCUAUGUUUUCUCCUUUCUGGCACAAAAAGCCCACUUUUAUCCAGGCUACAUCUUGUGGUAUCUUUCUAAUUCUCUUCUUAGUACAGUUAUGCUAAUGAGAGUUUCACUGCGCUUCACAGAAUGAUCUGGUUCGUGAGCUGAGUCCUGUCUUCAGCUAUAAAUAUUUUAAUAGUGACCAGAUAGUGCCCAGUACACAGAAGGUCCCACAACAGGGGUGACAGGUUUCUGCUGUCUGGGAAAUACUUUGUCUUUGAAAAUCCCUGAGUUACAGCAAAAAUUGUCAGAUCAGGUAAAAUGAAAUAGCUCCUAUGAUGAUAAACCUAAGUUCUGUGCUUGAUUGUCUUUUAAAACAAGGGUUGAGUCAUUUAGUCCAGCCUCAAAAAAUUUCCUGCAAUACUGGACCACCACUGCUCUAUGGAAAGUUUACAGAGUUGUUAUUUUCUUUGUCUUGUUCUAAAUACAUUGCAAAACAAAAAUACUCCCCACAUCCCCCUCCUUCAGCCUGUUCUCCACAAAGCCAAUUCACCUGAAGCAUUUAAAUUGCUAUCAAUAGGAAGCAACGAUGAUGUACUGCAAAAUACUCAGGGACUAUAACCAAGUAAGAGCGCUUUUUUUAGUGGGCACACACAACUGAGAAACUGUAGUAGCAGCCCGUAAUAAUUGUCACUUCUGAUCACCAUGGGAACCAAACAGAGGUCUACUUUGCAGAAAACAGAUCAGCAGUGACUCACUGACUGCUUGGGACGCAUGAUUAUUGAGAAUUGCUAGACUUGUGUGGGUGACAGGGAAUAGUGAUGCUAUUUCAACCAUAGUCCCAUACAGCAGAGUCUCCUCUGCCAGACAUGCAGGAUGAAAACAAGUAAAUUAGUACUUUGUGUUCAUUAGAGACAAAUUUCACCUUUAGGAUUUUCUGCAGCUUCAGCCUUGUGUGGACUCUUUGCUAGGAAAGGAUUUAAUUUCUGGUGAAUGAAGUUCUAAUUGAGAUCCCAUUGGCUUUUACCAGGUCUUCUGCAACCCUCUUAGUGGCAAGACUUAACCCUUGAGCAGCACAGAGGCUUAGAGUUGCCACAUCAUCUGAACUACACUAGGAUGUGUACGACACAUAAAAGUCAGGCAGUAUUUCUGUCUGGACUACCCAGAAACUGAGAAGCUGGGCCCUUACAAUAAAGCUCCUACAUUAAGUAGAAAGCAAAAUAAAUGCACUGUCUCAUUAGCAUAAUUCAAAAGAGAAGCUGUCUUUGAGGUAAAAUAGUUUGUAUGAGACCAAAAUUUGCAAUAUAAGAUAUUUUUAGUGUUUUUCAGCUGGUCGCAAACUGUAGUUUCAGUCUUAUGCUUUCCUACUCCAGAAUUUUUCAACAUUGACUAAUUCAAUCAUAAUAUUUCUGGAAUGUCAAAGAAUUUCAGAUCAGAGAUUCUGAGAUUAUAAAGCCCAUAUCAACUCUUUGCUGGAUUAUUUCCACUGGCUCCUCACUCUGGCUGGAGAGUAACCACUGAAAGGAAAAUGGUAUUAGAUCCCCAACAUUUAUAUGUUCAUUUUUCACAAAUGGUAAUUCAAGAUGUUUUGACAAAACCAAAGUAUAUUCCUUAAUAACUGUCAUUCAAUGCCUCCUUGUGUUCUGUUCUUUCUCCCCUUGAACCAUCAUUUGAGUGCCUAAAUAUUCUCCAAGGAUGCCGUCAUAUGCACACCUGGCAGCUGGCAUAUAGGGGUUCUUUUCUGAUCCUUCUCCUAACAGAAAUAUCCACAGAUUGUAAGUUUUGAAAGAGCAGAUACACUCUUUUCUCCAUGAAAUGACAUGUGCUUUUAUUAACAAAGGCUGCUCACCACAGAGGACUUUUCAUGAGCAGAAAAUCAACUCCCUAAGUGGGAUUUGGCCAGGACAGAAUACAGCAUCCUGUCACACAGUUUCUAAAUUCAUGGACCUUUGGGAAAACAGAAGACAAGAAUCUGCAAAUUGAAGACAAGGACAUGGCCCUAGCUCUUUAGUUUGAUGGCACAGGCUUGCAUAGCAUAAAUGAAUAUAUGUCUAUUGUAGAGGUUCCAGUCCGUGAUGCUGCACAUUUGUCAGUUGGUCAGUAAACUUUUGAGAUUAAACGACGCAGAGGAACAAAAAUACUAAGAAGCCACUGUACCUCCCACACAGUCAGAGGACGAAACAUUAAAAUACCAAUUU
rnacentral:lncRNA from 1 species